rnacentral:rRNA from 1 species
GGUCCAGACUCCUACGGGAGGCAGCAGUGAGGAAUAUUGGUCAAUGGGCGAGAGCCUGAACCAGCCAAGUCGCGUGAAGGAUGACGGCCCUACGGGUUGUAAACUUCUUUUGUCGGGGAGCAAUUGGGUCCACGCGUGGGCUUAGCGAGAGUACCUGAAGAAAAAGCAUCGGCUAACUCCGUGCCAGCAGCCGCGGUAAUACGGAGGAUGCGAGCGUUAUCCGGAUUUAUUGGGUUUAAAGGGUGCGUAGGCGGCCUUUUAAGUCAGCGGUGAAAGUCUGUGGCUCAACCAUAGAAUUGCCGUUGAAACUGGGGGGCUUGAGUAUGUUUGAGGCAGGCGGAAUGCGUGGUGUAGCGGUGAAAUGCAUAGAUAUCGCGCAGAACUCCGAUUGCGAAGGCAGCAUGCCGGCUCCACACUGACGCUGAGGCACGAAAGCGUGGGUAUCGAACAGGAUUAGAUACCCGGGUA